AUGCAAUGGUUCUUAGGAUUCGUAAAAUUCUUUCACCGGGGACGAUCAUGACGCGACCCGAUGAAGAGGCCCCGUGUAACUUCCUGCCCGCAAACGCGGUAAUACCUACGGGGCUAGCGUCGCUCGGAAUUACUGGGCGUAAAGGGCGCGCAGGCGGAUCGUUAAGUCAGAGGUGAAAUCCCAGGUCUCAACCCUGAAACUGCCUUUGAUACUGCCGAUCUUGAGUAUGAUAGAGGAAUGUGGAACUCCGAGGGUAAAGAGGAAAUUGGAAUAUCUCCGGAAGAACACCAGUGGCGAAAGAGACGUACUGACUCAUUACUGACGCUGAACUCUCUGAGCGGGGGGAGCAAACAGGAUUAGAUACCCUGGUAAUCCACGCCGAAAACAAUGAUUGCUAGUUGUCGCCGUGCAUGCAGAUCGCUGACGCAGCUAACGCAUUAGGCCCUCCGCCUGGCAGAGAAACGCAUUAAGCACUCCGCCUGGGGAG
rnacentral:rRNA from 1 species